CGUACACUCCUGCGGGAGGCAGCAGUGGGGAAUAUUGGACAAUGGGCGCAAGCCUGAUCCAGCCAUGCCGCGUGAGUGAUGAAGGCCCUAGGGUUGUAAAGCUCUUUCACCGGUGAAGAUAAUGACGGUAACCGGAGAAGAAGCCCCGGCUAACUUCGUGCCAGCAGCCGCGGUAAUACGAAGGGGGCUAGCGUUGUUCGGAUUUACUGGGCGUAAAGCGCACGUAGGCGGACUAUUAAGUCAGGGGUGAAAUCCCGGGGCUCAACCCCGGAACUGCCUUUGAUACUGGUAGUCUUGAGUUCGAGAGAGGUGAGUGGAAUUCCGAGUGUAGAGGUGAAAUUCGUAGAUAUUCGGAGGAACACCAGUGGCGAAGGCGGCUCACUGGCUCGAUACUGACGCUGAGGUGCGAAAGCGUGGGGAGCAAACAGGAUUAGAUACCCGAGUAGUCCCAUG
rnacentral:rRNA from 1 species